UCUGCCUCCUGAGACCAUCUGAUGACUAAAGACCAGCAACACAUCACACAGGAUGGUGAACGCCUGGGAGAGAGAGAGGAGAUGGACUGUUGGUUAUCAGUGGUCUGCCUCCUGAGACCAUCUGAUGACUAAAGACCAGCAAC
rnacentral:snoRNA from 13 species